GGUUAGUGGUACCAAAUACUCAAUGGUACCAAAUACUCAGUGGUACCAAAUACUCAAUGGUACCAAAUACUCACAGUGGUACCAAAGACACAUAGCAGUACCAAAGACUCAUAGUGGUACCAAAUGCUCAAUGGUACCAAAGACUCACAGCAGUACCAAAGACUCUUAAUACUUUCCUCGAUGAUGUGGAGGUGUUAACAUUUUUUGAGAUUGUGAAAAAACUACAAAACUUAGGAACAUAAAAUUUGAUAGGAAGAGAGUUAAAUAGUUGUUCUUAAUCCUCUAAGACCCCCAGCUCCCUAAGACAAUCAGAACCCCUAUAAAAACAUUCCCCAAAAUAGGUAUCCAAAAUUUCGACGGGGGAGCGACCAAAAAUUUUAAUGUGGAAGUGUUAACAUUUUUUUGGAAUAUGCAAAAACUACAACACUCAAGACCAUCAGAUUUGGUGUGAGGAGAGUUACAUACUUGUUCUUAAUUCUCUAAGACCCCCAGCUCCCUAAGACAAUCAGAACCCCUAUAAAAACAUUCCCCAAAAUAGGUAUCCAAAAUUUCCACGGGGGACCGACCAAAAAUUUUAAUCUGAAAGUGUUAACAUUUUGGGGGAUUGUGAAAAAACUAUAAAACUUAGGAACAUAAAAUUUGAUAGGAAGAGAGUUAAAUGGUUGUUCUUAAUGCUCUAAGACCCCCAGCUCCCUAAGACAAUCAGAACCCCUAUAAAAACAUUCCCCAAAAUAGGUAUCCAAAAUUUCCACGGGGGACCGACCAAAAAUUUUAAUCUGAAAGUGUUAACAUUUUUUUGGAAUCUGCAAAAACUACAACACUCAGGACCAUCAGAUUUGGUGUGAGGAGAGUUACAUACUUGUUCUUAAUCCUCUAAGACCCCCAGCUCCCUAAGACAAUCAGAACCCCUUAUAAAACACAGCUAAUGAUAGAGAAUAAAGGUAAAAAGUGAGAGAAGGCUGUUUAGUCAUCUCCCAAGUGUUCCUCAAAGCCAUCCGACUCCGUGACCAACGCUCGCUCCAGGAUGACCUUCCCCUCCUUGUACCUGGGGAGAACACACACUGGUAAGGCUCCUCCCAUAGCACAGCCACACACACAGAACAGCACACUAGUAAGGCUCCUCGCACCUCAUGGCCACAGCUCUCAAAACACUUCAGAUGGCUAACGAAAAGUAACACUUGACUCAUGGGGGCAGACACCUCUCCCUCUCUCUCUCUCUCUGUCUCUCUCUCUCUACAUAUACACUAUACAAGUCUGCCUCGGGAAUAACAUUGUAGAAUCCCGUGCCUGUCCCAAGCCCGGGUAAAGAGUAGGGGAUUCACGGCUGGCCUAGCAAGCUGGUGACAUAUAAAGUGUUUUUUGCUCGUGAUACUCAAGGGCAGCCUCGGACUCAGGACGGACCAAUCGCAGACGACCCAAGCAACACUCAACCCGGUGGUGGGAGCAGCAGGGGUCAUGUUUCUUAACCCUUUCCUUGCUAAGCGCUCACACCGAGACGAUCCCCUCAGGCGCGCUCGGGCACCCCAGCGGGAGAAGGGGAUGUCUUUUAACCGCUGUAUCUCAAAAACUAUUCAUCACAGCCACAAAACACAAACACCAUUGGAAAGAGGAGGCCAAGAUCCAUAAGAUUCGGUGAUGUAAGCCUCUCCUGGGAAUGUACAGGCCCGGUGAGGGGGUGUUUUUUGCUGAGUGUGACUGGUGCGCGCGUGACACUCUAUUCUUAAACAUCAUCAUAGAGGGUUGGGGCCAGUGAAAUGUU